UACGAGGGGUGCAAGCGUUGCUCGGAAUUAUUGGGCGUAAAGGGUUGGUAGGUGGUCUUGUUUGUCUAGGGUGAAAUCCCAUGGCUUAACUGUGGAAGUGCCCUAGAAACGGCAAGACUAGAGUCCUAGAGGGGUUUGUGGAAUUCCCGGUGUAGUGGUGGAAUGCGUAGAGAUCCGGAGGAACACCAGCGGCGAAGGCGGCAUCCUGGACUGGUCCUGACACUCAGGAGCGAAAGCGUGGGGAGCGAUCCGG
rnacentral:rRNA from 1 species